AUUGAACGCUGGCGGCAGGCCUAACACAUGCAAGUCGAGCGAGCGGCGGACGGGUGAGUAAUGUAUGGGGACUGCCCGAUAGAGGGGGAUAACUACUGGAAACGGUAGCUAAUACCGCAUACUAUCGGAUAACCCAUAUGGGAUUAGCUAGUAGGGGAGGUAAUGGCUCACCUAGGCGACGAUCCCUAGCUGGUCUGAGAGGAUGGUCAGCCACCCUGGGACUGAGACACGGCCCAGACUCGUAAGGAGGCAGCAGUGGGGAAUAGUGCACAAUGGGCGCUAGCCUGAUGCAGCCAUGCCGCGUGUAUGAAGAAGGCCCUAGGGUUGUAAAGUACUUUCAUUCGGGGGGCGUUACCGACAGAAGAAGCACCGGCUAACUCCGUGCCAGCCGCCGCGGUAAUUC
rnacentral:rRNA from 1 species